rnacentral:rRNA from 1 species
GAUGAACGCUAGCGGCAGGCCUAACACAUGCAAGUCGAGGGGCAGCGAAGAUUGCUUGCAAUCUGUCGGCGACCGGCGCACGGGUGCGUAACGCGUAUGCAACCUACCUUGUACAGGGGGAUAGCCCGAAGAAAUUCGGAUUAAUACCCCAUAGAAUCUUCUUAACACAUGUUAUAGAGAUUAAAGUUUCGGCGGUACAAGAUGGGCAUGCGUCCUAUUAGAUAGUUGGUAAGGUAACGGCUUACCAAGUCAGCGAUAGGUAGGGGGCCUGAGAGGGUGGUCCCCCACACUGGUACUGAGACACGGACCAG